AUAAAUCGUUAAGGGCGUAUGGCGGAUGCCUAGGCUUUCAGAGGCGAAGAAGGACGUGGUAAGCUGCGAAAAGCUACGGGGAUUGGCACACACGAAUUGAUCCGUAGAUAUCCGAAUGGGGCAACCCAAUACAUUGAAGAUGUAUUACUGCGUAAGCAGAGCGAACCCGGAGAACUGAAACAUCUAAGUACCCGGAGGAAAAGAAAUCGAAGAGAUUCCGUUAGUAGUGGCGAGCGAAAGCGGAUUAGCCCAAAAGUUGUAGUAUGUUUAGUAGAAUACUUUGGAAAGAGUAGCCAUAGAGGGUGAUAGCCCCGUAAAUGAAAGGCAUAUUAUGAUGAUAAUAGAGUAGGGCGGGACACGUGAAAUCCUGUUUGAAUAAGGGGGGACCAUCCUCCAAGGCUAAAUACUCCUGAAAGACCGAUAGUGAACGAGUACUGUGAAGGAAAGGUGAAAAGCACUUCGAAUAGAAGGGUGAAAGAGAACCUGAAACCAUACGCCUACAAGCGGUCGGAGCACCAAUAUGGUGUGACGGCGUGCCUUUUGCAUAAUGAGCCUACGAGUUAAUUGUACUAGCGAGGUUAAGAUAUUAAGUAUCGGAGCCGUAGGGAAACCGAGUCUGAAUAGGGCGAAUAGUUAGUAUGAUUAGACGCGAAACCUUGUGAUCUACCCAUGGGCAGGUUGAAGCUUUGGUAACACAAAGUGGAGGACCGAACCGGUUGACGUUGAAAAGUCUUCGGAUGACCUGUGGGUAGGGGUGAAAGGCCAAUCAAACUGGGAGAUAGCUCGUACUCUCCGAAAUGCAUUUAGGUGCAGCGUCAAUGAUAAGUUUAUUAGAGGUAGAGCUACUGAUUGGAUGCGGGGGUUUCAUCGCCUACCAAUUCCUGACAAACUCCGAAUGCUAAUAAAUGUUCGUUGGCAGUGAGGGCAUGGGUGCUAAGGUCCAUGUCCGAGAGGGAAAGAACCCAGACCAACAGUUAAGGUCCCCAAAUAUAUGCUAAGUUGAAGCAACGCGGUUGAACUGCCUAGACAGCUAGGAUGUUGGCUUGGAAGCAGCCAUUCAUUUAAAGAGUGCGUAACAGCUCACUAGUCGAGCGGUUCGGCAUGGAUAAUAAUCGGGCAUAAGCAUAUUACCGAAGCUAUGGAUUUGUACAUAAGUACAACUGGUAGGAGAGCAUUCUAUCGGCGUAGAAGCUGAGUCGUGAGGCUUGGUGGAGCUUAUAGAAAAGAAAAUGUAGGCAUAAGUAACGAUAAAGCGGGCGAGAAACCCGCUCACCGAAAGACUAAGGUUUCCUCAGCCAUGCUAAUCAGCUGAGGGUUAGUCGGGGCCUAACGCGAACCCGAGAGGGGUAGUGGAUGGACAUAGGGUUAAUAUUCCCUAACUUGCUCACGAGGAAAGUGACGGUUCAAUGAGACUUAAGAAGACUGACGGAAUAGUUAAGACCUAGCCUACGGGCGAAGUUGAUUAAGAGCAGUUGGAUCCAAGAAAAGCGAGUGAAGCAACCCGUACCAUAAACCGACACAGGUAGUCGAGGAGAGAAUCCUAAGGUGCUCGAGUGAGUCGUGGCUAAGGAACUAGGCAAAAUAGUCUCGUAACUUCGGGAGAAGAGACGCCAACAGCGAUGUUGGCCGCAGUGAAGAGGCCCAGGCGACUGUUUAACAAAAACACAGGACUCUGCUAAAUCGAAAGAUGCUGUAUAGGGUCUGACACCUGCCCGGUGCUGGAAGGUUAAGGAAGGUGCUUAGCGUAAGCGAAGGCAUUGACUGAAGCCCCAGUAAACGGCGGCCGUAACUAUAACGGUCCUAAGGUAGCGAAAUUCCUUGUCGGGUAAGUUCCGACCUGCACGAAUGGUGUAACGAUCUGAAAGACCCUGUGAACCUUUACUAUAACUUCGUAUUGACUUUGAGUAAGUAAUGUGUAGGAUAGGUGGGAGACGUAGAAGCAGGCACGCUAGUGUUUGUGGAGUCGCUGUUGAAAUACCACCCUUUGCUUACUUAGAGCCUAACUUCUGAAUGGAAGGACAUUGCGUGGUGGGUAGUUUGACUGGGGUGGUCGCCUCCAAAAGAGUAACGGAGGCUUUCAAAGGUACCCUCAGCACGCUUGGUAACCGUGCGUAGAGUGUAAUGGCAGAAGGGUGCUUGACUGUGAGACCAACAAGUCGAUCAGGUGCGAAAGCAGGACAUAGUGAUCCGGUGGUUCCGAGUGGAAGGGCCAUCGCUCAUAGGAUAAAAGGUACUCCGGGGAUAACAGGCUAGUCUCCCCCAAGAGCUCACAUCGACGGGGAGGUUCGGCACCUCGAUGUCGGCUCGUCACAUCCUGGGGCUGGAGAAGGUCCCAAGGGUUGGGCUGUUCGCCCAUUAAAGUGGCACGCGAGCUGGGUUCAGAACG
rnacentral:rRNA from 1 species